AUCGAAACUGUUUUCUCAGACGCACCUGC
rnacentral:sRNA from 1 species